GAUGAACGCUGGCGGCGUGCUUAACACAUGCAAGUCGAACGGAAAUGCCCUGCUUUUGUUGGGUGCCCGAGUGGUGAACGGUUGAGUAACACGUGAGUAACCUCCCCUUGACUUUGGGAUAACUUCAGGAAACUGGGGCUACUACCGGCUACGAGCUCCUGCUGCAUGGUGGGGGUUGGAAAGUUUCGGCGGUUGGGGAUGGACUCGCGGCUUACCAGCUUGUUGGUGGGGUAGUGGCUUACCAAGGCUUUGACGGGUAGUCGGCCUGAGAGGGUGACCGGCCACAUGGGGAAUGAGAUACGGCCCAGACGGCUACGGGAGGCAGCAGUGGGGAAUAUUGCACAAUAGGCGGAAGCCUGAUGCAGCAGCGCCGGGUGCGGGAUGACGGCCUUCGGGUUGUAAACCGCUUUAGCCUAUGACGAAGAGUGAGUGAAGGUAAUGUGUGAAGAAGCACCGGCUAACUACGUG
rnacentral:rRNA from 1 species